rnacentral:rRNA from 1 species
UACAGAGGUCCCAAGCGUUUGUUCGGAUUCACUGGGCGUAAAGGGUGCGUAGGUGGCGAGGUAAGUCGGAUGUGAAAGCUCGGAGCUCAACUCCGAAAUGGCAUUGGAAACUACCUUGCUCGAGGGUUGGAGGGGGGGACUGGAAUUCUCGGUGUAGCAGUGAAAUGCGUAGAUAUCGAGAGGAACACCAGUGGCGAAGGCGAGUCCCUGGACAACUCCUGACACUGAGGCACGAAAGCUAGGGGAGCAAACAGG